rnacentral:rRNA from 1 species
GACGAACGCUGGCGGCGCGCCUAACACAUGCAAGUCGAACGAGCGAGAGGAGGUUUACUUUCUCAAGCGAGUGGCGAACGGGUGAGUAACGCGUGAGGAACCUGCCUCAAAGAGGGGGACAACAGUUGGAAACGACUGCUAAUACCGCAUAAGCCCACGACCCGGCAUCGGGUAGAGGGAAAAGGAGCAAUCCGCUUUGAGAUGGCCUCGCGUCCGAUUAGCUAGUUGGUGAGGUAAUGGCCCACCAAGGCGACGAUCGGUAGCCGGACUGAGAGGUUGAACGGCCACAUUGGGACUGAGACACGGCCCAGACUCCUACGGGAGGCAGCAGUGGGGAAUAUUGCACAAUGGGGGAAACCCUGAUGCAGCGACGCCGCGUGGAGGAAGAAGGUCUUCGGAUUGUAAACUCCUGUUGUUGAGGAAGAUAUGACGGUACUCAACAAGGAAGUGACGGCUAACUACGUG